AGUGAACGCUGGCGGUAGGCCUAACACAUGCAAGUCGAACGGCAGCACAGUAAGAGCUUGCUCUUACGGGUGGCGAGUGGCGGACGGGUGAGGAAUACAUCGGAAUCUACUUUUUCGUGGGGGAUAACGUAGGGAAACUUACGCUAAUACCGCAUACGACCUACGGGUGAAAGCAGGGGAUCUUCGGACCUUGCGCGAUUGAAUGAGCCGAUGUCGGAUUAGCUAGGUGGCGGGGUAAAGGCCCACCAAGGCGACGAUCCGUAGCUGGUCUGAGUGGAUGAUCGGCCACACUGGACCUGAGACACGGUCCAGAGUCCUACUGGAGGGAGCAGUGGGGAAUAUUGGGCAGUGGGCGCAAGCCUGAUCCAACAAUACCACGUCGGUGAAGCAGGCCUUCUGGUUGUCAAGCCCUUUUGUUGGGAAAGAAAAGCAUCCGGUUAAUACCCCGCUGUUCUGACGGUACCCACAGACUAAGCACCGGCUAACUUCGUG
rnacentral:rRNA from 1 species